AAGUAAUUAAAUAAACAAAUUAAAUUUAUAUAAUAAUUCAAUAACUAAACACAAAGUAUACAUAAUUAAACUAAAAACUUAAAAAAAAAACAAAAAAAAACUAAAAACUAAUAAUAAACUAAAAAAUAAAAAUAAAAUAACAUUCAGGCCUGAACGGAUGUCGCAUAUCCAUUUGGUCCUGAAACGGAAGUGGAUAGCCGUUGACAGAUACCAACAUCUGUUUCAGGGCCAAACGGUUCAUGGCCUGAUAUCUUCUUCCUCCUCUACACAUACGCAAACACUGAGAAAACACACAACAAACACAAUAUAUUCAAUACAUUUAAAAAAAUUAUAAAUCUAUAUGCAAAUGAAGCAAAGAACUAACCUCUCGUAGACCCAAGACACAAAAUGAAGCAUCACUGACCACCACACACACUAUUGCACCGCUACACUGCUGCACCGCCGAAUGACCAUCACAAACUCCCCGCACCACAAAACCAAACAAAUAUGGAGACAACGGAUCUAGUGAGAGUGGGGGGUGGGAAUUUGGAAAGAGAGAAAGUGAAACCUGAGAGAGUUGUGGGUGGGGCUGUGCAAAUCAAAAUGGGUAGGAAUAUAGAGAAUAAACAAAUGGAUAUGGAGAAGAGAAGUAAAAGUUGAGAGAUGAGAAGAAACAUAUAUGGUGAGUUAGAGUUGGGAGGUGGAAAUCUGAAAAGAGAGAAAAUGAGACUUAGGAAAGUUAAAGAUGGGACUGCGUAGGUGAAAAUAAGUAGAAAUUUAAAAUUUCAUAUUAAAGUAAAUAAAUAAGGUUAAAAAGUAAAAAAAAAAAAUUACUUUUGUAAUUAAAAUAAUUUUAGAGAGGAUAAGAAAGGUGAGAGUGGUGGUGGAAGGAGUAACACCCCGUUGAUUAUGAUUAGAAAUUGAACCUUUUAAAACCCAAAUUCCAAACAGGUUUCUAACAUUUAAAUAUAUUAUUCACGGUUGAAAAUUCAGUUUUUCAAAAGUUAAAUUUCAAU
rnacentral:lncRNA from 1 species